UACAGAGGGUGCAAGCGUUAAUCGGAAUUACUGGGCGUAAAGCGCGCGUAGGUGGUUCGUUAAGUUGGAUGUGAAAUCCCCGGGCUCAACCUGGGAACUGCAUUCAAAACUGUCGAGCUAGAGUACGGUAGAGGGUGGUGGAAUUUCCUGUGUAGCGGUGAAAUGCGUAGAUAUAGGAAGGAACACCAGUGGCGAAGGCGACCACCUGGACUGAUACUGACACUGAGGUGCGAAAGCGUGGGGAGCAAACAGG
rnacentral:rRNA from 1 species